rnacentral:lncRNA from 1 species
CGAGUAGCUAGGACUACAGGCAUGUGCCACCACGCUCAGCUACUUUUGUUUUUUGUUUGUUUGUUUGUUUGUUUUAGUAGAGAUGGGGUUUCACUUUGUUGGUUAGGCUGGUCUUGAACCCCUGACCUCAGGUGAUCCGCCCACCUAGGCCCCCCAAAGUAUUGGGAUUACAGGAGUGAACCACUGCGCCCGGCCUCGAAUGUGAGUGCGUUAAAACCCAGAUCGGGUCUGAUUGGGGUUGGCACCCAGGUGGCUCCAUAAUUGUUGCUGUCCUGAAUUAUUGCCCUCUUUGCUACUUGGACCGAACCCCAUCUUGGGACCACCGACUUCCUCUGACUCCUGGUCAGGCUCCUGGGCGGCAAAUCCUGGCCCCUGGUAUGGUCCCGCCUGCCUCUCUGUCCCCUUGUCUACCUGACCAGACCUCUGAACUUCAAGGCCUGGAUGCCCUGUCUCUCCUCCUGUGAGGCUCUGUCCUACCUCAUGUUGGGACCUAGGGCGCUCUGUUGUACAACUCCAGGGAGCACCAUUGUGUCUUCUGUAAAUGGCAGCUCCUGGAACACAGUGAGCCCUCAAUAGGGCAUGUCAGCUGUGGGCUCAGACAUCCUUUGGGUCUGGCAGUGCUCCAUUUCAUGUGCCCUGUCACCCUCACCCCUCUUUUUCCAUCCCACUUCUCCUAGCUGGACCAAGCUAGGCGUCAUCUACAAGCCCGGUGUGCUGACCAGGGAAUGUGUGGGGCUUGGGGCAUGGGGACAAUAAAUAACAUCACUUUUCUCAUUUCCCAGGCAGGUAACCAAUUGAAAGAUAAGAUACCAUAGACAGACAUCAACUUUAUUCCUGACUAAAGCUCAAAAGAAGGGCGUGGCGUAGAUUUACAGUGACCAUCCUAACACUCACGCGCAGAGUCACACGGUCCCACACUGGGCUGGACCAGCCCUGCUAAGCCCACAAGAGGUGGGGAGAACAGCAGCCGCUUCCUCUUUGUGGGGCCCAGGCCUGAGCUUCCCUCCGUUCCUGCCCCGGAUCUGACCACUGGGAUUGUGGGAGAGGGUGUCAAAGGACAGUUUUCUCCCAUAGUUUUCCCUUCCAGGGAGAAGAGUGGAAAUCCCCUCAUCUCAAAGGCAACAUGAGAUUGGAGAAUGUACUCUCAAAUCCCCAAACAGCAACAGAAUUGUUCUGCUUGCUUCAGAGCAGAGGCUCCGCAGCCCUUUCCAGACCUCUCCCAAGCGUGGAAAUGGACGAAGGGCUGGAUGGGGCUCAGAGGGGAGGUCAGGCGGGACUCCCUCAGACAGCAGCUGGGGUUCCUCUGUUCCAGGCCCAGCUCUCACUGAAACAGGAGAGGGUGUGAAGGAAUGGAUUUGGAACUGUCAAGAACUCCUUCCUUAGUGGGCAGUGGAGAUCAAAAGCUGAGUGAAGCAGUGGUCCAGCUGGAAUUCAACACCUGAGAUAUCUGACUCCAGAUACCAGCCCUUCCUUGCUUCCCACUAGCUGCCUAACCCAGAGAGGAGAUUGGGAAAAGAGAAACAAGUUACAGAAUUCAAGAGUAGGUAUCAUCUGGGGUCUUCCUGAAGGAACAAGUGUUGCUCCAGAGAAGCCAGAAAUUCUUAUCUCUGCUUUGCUCUAACCACCUCUUUAGGCUUUAUGACUGAAGAGUCCCUUUGGCCCCUUAACUCCACAAGGCUGACCCUGGUGAUCAGCAGCUGAGAUCUACAUGAUACAGUCCAGACACCAGAAGGAGACUGAAUCUCUCUCCCAAAUCUCAGCUCUAAAAUUCCCAAGAGAGGGCCUCAUGGGUCCAGGCAGUGUCUGGUGUCCGUCCUGCAAUGGCCAGGAGCCAGGUUUUCUUGUAGGAGUGUGACAGCUCCUCCUGCAGUCGGGGAUCCUGGAUGGGGCUGAGGAGAAGUUCCAAGGCAAGGAGGAUUGGCAUCUGCUCCAUAAGUGCAUUCUUCUCUUUGCACUUGAUCUUUUAUCUACCUCAUAGAUAGAUCCUUCUUGCUCACACUUUCAGCCUGUCCUUUUUUUUUUUUUUUUUUUUUUUUGAGACAGGGUCUCGCUCUGUCACUCAAGCUGGAGUGCAGUGGCAUGAACUUGGCUCACUGCAGCCUCCACCUCCCAAGUUCAAGUGAUUCUCCUGCCUCAGCCUCCCAGGUAGCUGGGAUUACAGGCGUGUGCCACCACACCUGGUUAAUUUUUUUGUAUUUUUAGUAGAGAUAGGGUUUCACCAUGUUGACCAGGCUGGUCUUCAACUCCUGACCUCCCCAGUGAUCCACCCACCUAGGUCUCCCAAAGUGCUGGGAUUACAGGCAUGAGCCACUGUGCCCAGCGCUUUCAGCCAGUUUGACCUCUACUCAUGCAAAUUUUACCUUUCCCUUUAUGCCUCACUCCACCUCACGGCUUCACUCUCUUCUCCCUGAUCGCACCCCACUGUGACUGCCUGAAAUGCCACAUGUUUCUUCAUUCAGAUUUCUCAGAUAAUUCAAUGGUUCCACCCAUAAUUCCACACCUGGCCACUUCAUAGACAAUGACUCACUUAAGGACAGGCUGCCUCAGGGUGCACAGCCUGUAUUCAGGAAUCUGCUAGAGCAACACAUAGCUGUACCUUCUGCAAGGCUGUGGGCUGGAUGACUCCACUGUGGGCGUGGAACACGGGCUGGUGUCAUAAGGAGACAUUCUUUAUGCCUUAGGCAUUGAAAGGAUACUCCUUCCAAAAGGCCUUUCCCAGCGUUUCCCCCUGAAAUCCACUAACCAUAGCAUUUCACUGUUGACACUGCCAUAUAGUGCUAAGUGCAGUUGUCUAACUCCUACUGCCACAGAGAUUCAAGUGUACAAUGGCUUACACGUGUGAGAAGAUUAUUUCUUGUUCAGAUAUCAAAUGCAGAAUAAGCAGUCCAGAGAGGAGAUGACAGCUUUAUGGUGUUGGGGACCUAUGCUCCUUCUGACUUGCUGUUCUAUCAUCCCUUGGACGGUGGCCUCAUCUCCUUGGAUCCAGAUGGAUCACUACCACAUUCCAGCCAGUGGGAAGGGGGAAAUGCAUUUCCUUUUCCUUUAAAUGCGGGAGCCAGAGUUUGCACACCUCACUUCACUCACACCUUGCCAGCCAGAACGUAGUUACAGGGUCACAUCAAGCUUGAAGGAGAGCUGGCAAAUGAAGUCUAUUUUGGGUGGCCAUGUGCCCAGCUAAAAGUUGGGAAUUCUAUUAUUAAAGAGGAAGAGGAAGAGAAGAAUGCAUAUCCCACCAUUCUGUCACCGUUUUUGACUGCUCUCCACUCACUAUCCAGUCUGUCACAUGCUGGCACAUCCCAUUCCUGAUGCCUUUCCUAUGGGGCUCUAUUCUUCAUCCCCACCAAUACCACCAUGCAUUGGGCCCUUCCUGCUUUAUACCCACUGUCUCAUUAGAACGUCCUAGCUGAUCCCUUUGCUUUCAGUCACCUUCUGUGAUCAUUCUAUUAAUAAAUAGCAAAUCUGAUCAUAUGCCCCUAUUGUUUAGAAAUCAAUGGCUCCCCACUGCCCAUAGCAGUAAGAUUUUGAAUCCUUUUUUUUUUGAGACAGGGUCUCAUUCUGUCACCUAGCCUGGAGUGUAGUGGUGAGAUCACAGUCAUUGCAGCCUUGACCUCCUGGGCUCAAGUGAUCUCCCCACCUUAGCCUCCCAAGUAGCUGAGACUACAGGCACACAUCACAACGCCUGGCUAGUUAUUAAUUUUUUUUUUUUUGUAGAGAUGGGAUGUCACUAUGUUGCCCAGGCUGGGCUCAAGUGAUCCUCCUGCUUCAGCCUCUCAAAGUGUUGGGAUUACAGGUGUGAGCAACUGCAUUCAGCUGAGUGCAGAUUUUUGAAUCCCUGAAGUUGUAUGCAAAUUUUGCCUUCUUUUUUUUUUUUAUUGCAAAAACUUUUUUUUUUUUUUUUUUGAGAUGGAGUCUCACUCGCUCUAUCACCCAGGCUGGAGUGCAGUGGCACAAUCUUGGCUCACUGCAACCUCUGCCUACUGGGUUCAAGUGAUUCUCAUGCCUCAGCCUCCCGAGUAGCUGGGAUUAUAGGCAUGCACCACCAUGCCCUGCUAAUUUUUGUAUUUUUUAGUAGAGAUGGGGGUUUCACCAUGUUGGCCAGACUGGUCUGGAACUCCUGACCUCAAUGGGUCAGCCCACCUUGGCCUCCCAAAGUGCUGAGAUAUACAGGCGUGCGCCACUACGCCUGGCCAUUUUACUUUUUCUUUCUUUUUUUUCUUUUAGAGAUGGGGUCUCAAUCUGUCACCCAGGCUGGAGUGCAGUGGUGCGAAAAUAACUCACUGGACUCAAACAAUCCUCCUGCUUUAGCCUCCUAAGUAACUAGGAUUACAGACAUGUGUCACCAUGCCUGUCUAUUUUUUAUUUUAAAUUUUUUUUUGUAGAGAUGAGGUCUUGCUAUUUUGCCCAGGCUGGUCUUAAACUCCUGGCCUCAAGCAAUCCUUUCGCCUUGGCCUCCCAAACUUUUUCUGUUGAGGCCUUUGCAUUUUCAAAGGGGUCUGUUAUUCCCCUCAAGUUACAGGCACAAGUCCAAAUUCCAAGUAUCCAUGUACGAGUGUGGUAUGUUUCCUGACCUCCCUUUCACGUCUCCUGUUUAGUCACGUCUCCUGCGUAACUGAAACUAAAGUCAUUUUGAAAUUGUCUCCAUUGCCCAACAGGUCACACUUUUUCUUUUUUUUUCCUUUUUUCUUUUCGUGAUGGAGUCUCACUCUGUCGCCCAGGCUGGAGUACAGUGGCGUGAUCUUGGCUCACUGCAAACUCCACCUCCCGCAUUCAAGCGAUUCUUAUGCCUCAGCCACCCGAAUAGCUGGGAUUACAGGCGUGAGCCAGCGUGCCCAGCCCAGGUCAGGUCAUGCUCUUUCACAUGCCACAUCUUCCAUCCACCUGCCGUUAUAUCUAAACUCCUAGGCAUCGUUAUGGCUUGGCUGAAAAGCCACCUCCUCUGGGAGGCGUCCUUGACUCCCUUUGUCCCACUCAGUCUCCACAGCUCGACUCAGGCCUCCAACACUUGUCACAUUUCAUAGUGGUCGUUAGCUUACACCUGCCCCCCACCAACAAACCAUUAACUCUGGAGCCCAGGACUCUGAAUGGACACUCCACAAAUGUUUAUUGAAUAAAUGUCACUCAUGCUAAAAAAACUGGAGUGCUGUUUCUAACAUGUGAAUCUGAGCAUUGCUUCCUUUUUGCGGAGGAGCGGGGAAUGGUGUCUGGCUGUAACCCAGGCUUGAGUGCAGUGGUGAGAUACCGGCUCACUGCAGCCUCUGCCUCCCCAGUUGAAGCGAUUCUCCUGCCUCAGCCUUCCAAGUAGCUGGGAUUACAGGCACAUGCCACCACACCCAGCUAAUUUUUGUAUUUUUAGUAGAGAUGGGAUUUCACCAUGUUGUUCAGGCUGAUCUUGAACUCCUGACCUCAAAUGAUCUACCCAUCUUGGCCUCCCAAAGUGCUGGGAUUACAAGCAUGAGCCACUGUACCCAGCAUAGGCACAUUAAUAUUAUUUGAAUGGCCCAAAUCAAUGUUCUCUCUUGUUUUGGAGCUUUAUUCUUGCUUCUUCCUCUGCCUGGAACGUUCUCCUGCUCCUCUUUGCCUGGCUAGCUCCUACGUAUCCUUCAGAUAGUUAAAAUAUACCUCAGGAAGUCUUCCUGGAUCCCCUCCCCACUUCUAGGUGAAGGGGGUACUAGGCUGAGGGCCCCAUCUAUGCACACCCCCAGCACCCUAUGUUCGCCCAGUUGCAACGUGGCUCUCACUGCAAGGCGGUGGCUCAUUUGUCUUCCUUCCCUGCUCACAUGCAGUGCACUCUGUGCCUAACUCACCCGCUGGCGUAGCCCCAGCCUCAAGCACAGCACUUGGAAGGGAAGAGGUACCUGAUAAAUGUGUUAAAUGUGGGUUAGAGGAAUGGAUUUCUCCAUUUUAAAUCUUGAUUUCAAUACCUUUCUGUUGCCUUUGGAAUAAAGCCUUACCACAGCUUUUACAGCACUUUCUGAUGUGGUCUCCAUGUAAUUUUAGUCUCGUCUCUUAAAAAUAUACCCUUUGAUUUCAGUGUCCCACUCAAACAUGGUAGCCACACUGAACUGAAUGAAGGCCCCCAAAUGCCUGCUUUCCCUUCUUCCAGCCUCUGCAGUGAAACUGCCAUUGCAAACUUGUAACAGACAGUGAAAGAGAUCUGACCUAACCAACUUCAUCUUGCUUCUAACCUCCAAGCUGUCCUUGUUGGUUCCUGGGCACAGGCUGAACUGACUUUGGGAGAAAGUUUAUAGUUUAAAACAAAGACGAUAACAGCCCUUUCCCAAAACAAACCUCCUUCUUGCCUGGGGACUAGACUGCCUUUGCAGGACAAGAAAUUAGCCACAAGAUUAGAAAUUAUGGUUUAGGAGUCAUGCAGCUGGAGACUACCAGGUUCUGACCCUCCCUAAACUGCUCCUCAGAUCAGUGCUUGAGACAUUUUGCAGACCCUGCACUUGAUGGAUCGGCUGGCACCACCCAGAUCAAUAAACUGGCUCAUCUGAUCUUGCAGCCUCCACCCAGGAACUGACUCAGCGCAAGAAGACAGCUUCGACUCUGUAUGAGUUCAUCUCCAACCUGACCAAUCAGCACUCCCGGCUCACUGGCUUCCCCCCAUCCACCAAGUUGUCCUUAAAACUCUGCUCCCCGAAUGCUUGGGGAGACUUAUUUGAGUAAUAAUAAAACUCUGUUCUUCUGCAC